GAUCAUGGCUCAGGAUGAACGCUAGCUACAGGCUUAACACAUGCAAGUCGAGGGGCAGCAUGGUCUUAGCUUGCUAAGGCCGAUGGCGACCGGCGCACGGGUGAGUAACGCGUAUCCAACCUGCCUUACACUCUUGGACAGCCUUCUGAAAGGGAGAUUAAUACAAGAUGUUAUCAUGAGUAAGCUAUUUUCGCAUGAAUUAAAGGUUUACCGGUGUAAGAGUGGGGAUGUCG
rnacentral:rRNA from 1 species